rnacentral:rRNA from 1 species
GCCCCACCCACCUAGAGGAGCCUGUUCUAUAAUCGAUAACCCCCGCUUAACCUCACCACUUCUUGCCAAUACCGCCUAUAUACCACCGUCGCCAGCCCACCCCGUGAGGGAAAUAGUAGGCACAAUGAUAAGUCACCAAAACGUCAGGUCAAGGUGUAGCGUAUGAAGUGGGAAGAAAUGGGCUACAUUCUCUAACCUAGAGCACACGAAAAAUCAUAUGAAAUUAGAUCAGAAGGAGGAUUUAGUAGUAAAAAGAAACAAUAGUGUUCUUUUUAAGUUGGCCCUGGGGCGCGCACACACCGCCCGUCACCCUCUUCAACUAAUAAAACACGAUUUAUAAAACAUAAAACAAACACAAGAAGAGGUAAGUCGUAACAUGGUAAGUAUACCGGAAGGUGUGCUUGGAAUUAC